CUCAAGGGGCCUGGGCUCCCCACCCACCUCUCUUUUGCGUUUUGGGCCACAAGAUGAGCAACUCUGCUUCAUCGUGUGCUUCUGCCACAAUGUGUUCCCUCACCAGAGGCCCAAAGCAAAGGGAUCAAUUGUACAUGGAACCUCCAAAAUAUAGAUGUGCUCUAAGAGAAUCCCUAUGGGAAGUUAUUUAAACACAAGAAAAUGAAACUGGAAGGAAACUGAAAUGUCAGGAAUAAAGGAAGAGGAACAGAAAUGGUGGUCUCCUCCAGGACUCCCCAUCAUUUUGUUGGUUCUCUUCCUUCUCAAGAGCCCAAGUGACGUCUCGCUGCCUGACACAUGGAGUAUGAAUUCCCCAUUAUGACAAAGUACUCAAUCCAGCAACUUAUCUCCCUCAAAUAAAUAUUUCAGUACAUAGCUCUAAAA